UGGUUGCAGAAUUUAGGCGCAAACAAAUAAUAAUCUUACAAGUGUACAAGAUAUAAAUAAAACUUUAUCACUCUCAACUAAUCCAACUUCUCUAAUUUAGUCUUUAUCUUGCCCACUAAUUGAUCUGAAAAACAAAAUAGGUGAGGAUUGAGAAAACCAUCGCUUAGUGAGUAGAUUAUGUAAUAUGCCAGUCAAGCAAUGUCAUUUUACCCUC
rnacentral:lncRNA from 1 species